rnacentral:rRNA from 1 species
UACGUAGGGGGCAAGCGUUAUCCGGAUUUACUGGGUGUAAAGGGAGCGUAGACGGCAUGGCAAGUCAGAUGUGAAAGCCCGGGGCUCAACCCCGGGACUGCAUUUGAAACUGUCAGGCUGGAGUGCAGGAGAGGUAAGCGGAAUUCCCAGUGUAGCGGUGAAAUGCGUAGAUAUUAGGAGGAACACCAGUGGCGAAGGCGGCUUACUGGACUGUAACUGACGUUGAGGCUCGAAAGCGUGGGGAGCAAACAGG